rnacentral:rRNA from 1 species
UACGUAGGGUGCAAGCGUUGUCCGGAAUUAUUGGGCGUAAAGAGCUCGUAGGCGGUUUGUCGCGUCGGCUGUGAAAACUCGGGGCUCAACCCCGAGCCUGCAGUCGAUACGGGCAAACUAGAGUGUGGUAGGGGAGACUGGAAUUCCUGGUGUAGCGGUGGAAUGCGCAGAUAUCAGGAGGAACACCGGUGGCGAAGGCGGGUCUCUGGGCCGUUACUGACGCUGAGGAGCGAAAGCGUGGGGAGCGAACAGG